rnacentral:rRNA from 1 species
UUUAUGGAGAGUUUGAUCCUGGCUCAGGAUGAACGCUGGCGGCGUGCCUAAUACAUGCAAGUCGAGCGAACAGAUGAGAAGCUUGCUUCUCUGAUGUUAGCGGCGGACGGGUGAGUAACACGUGGGUAACCUACCUAUAAGACUGGGAUAACUCCGGGAAACCGGGGCUAAUACCGGAUAAUAUUUUGAACCGCAUGGUUCAAUAGUGAAAGACGGUUUCGCUGUCACUUAUAGAUGGACCCGCGCCGUAUUAGCUAGUUGGUAAGGUAACGGCUUACCAAGGCGACGAUACGUAGCCGACCUGAGAGGGUGAUCGGCCACACUGGAACUGAGACACGGUCCAGACUCCUACGGGAGGCAGCAGUAGGGAAUCUUCCGCAAUGGGCGAAAGCCUGACGGAGCAACGCCGCGUGAGUGAUGAAGGUCUUCGGAUCGUAAAACUCUGUUGUUAGGGAAGAACAAAUUUGUUAGUAACUGAACAAGUCUUGACGGUACCUAACCAGAAAGCCACGGCUAACUACGUGCCAGCAGCCGCGGUAAUACGUAGGUGGCAAGCGUUAUCCGGAAUUAUUGGGCGUAAAGCGCGCGCAGGUGGUUUCUUAAGUCUGAUGUGAAAGCCCACGGCUCAACCGUGGAGGGUCAUUGGAAACUGGGAGACUUGAGUGCAGAAGAGGAAAGUGGAAUUCCAUGUGUAGCGGUGAAAUGCGUAGAGAUAUGGAGGAACACCAGUGGCGAAGGCGACUUUCUGGUCUGUAACUGACACUGAGGCGCGAAAGCGUGGGGAGCAAACAGGAUUAGAUACCCUGGUAGUCCACGCCGUAAACGAUGAGUGCUAAGUGUUAGAGGGUUUCCGCCCUUUAGUGCUGAAGUUAACGCAUUAAGCACUCCGCCUGGGGAGUACGGCCGCAAGGCUGAAACUCAAAGGAAUUGACGGGGGCCCGCACAAGCGGUGGAGCAUGUGGUUUAAUUCGAAGCAACGCGAAGAACCUUACCAGGUCUUGACAUCCUCUGAAAACCCUAGAGAUAGGGCUUCUUCCUUCGGGAGGCAGAGUGACAGGUGGUGCAUGGUUGUCGUCAGCUCGUGUCGUGAGAUGUUGGGUUAAGUCCCGCAACGAGCGCAACCCUUGAUCUUAGUUGCCAUCAUUAAGUUGGGCACUCUAAGGUGACUGCCGGUGACAAACCGGAGGAAGGUGGGGAUGACGUCAAAUCAUCAUGCCCCUUAUGACCUGGGCUACACACGUGCUACAAUGGACGGUACAAAGAGCUGCAAGACCGCGAGGUGGAGCUAAUCUCAUAAAACCGUUCUCAGUUCGGAUUGUAGGCUGCAACUCGCCUACAUGAAGCUGGAAUCGCUAGUAAUCGUAGAUCAGCAUGCUACGGUGAAUACGUUCCCGGGUCUUGUACACACCGCCCGUCACACCACGAGAGUUUGUAACACCCGAAGCCGGUGGAGUAACCUUUUAGGAGCUAGCCGUCGAAGGUGGGACAAAUGAUUGGGGUGAAGUCGUAACAAGGUAGCCGUAUCGGAAGGUGCGGCUGGAUCACCUCCUUU